rnacentral:rRNA from 1 species
GACGAACGCUGGCGGCGUGCUUAACACAUGCAAGUCGAACGGAAAGGCCCUGCUUUUGUGGGGUGCUCGAGUGGCGAACGGGUGAGUAACACGUGAGUAACCUGCCCUUGACUUUGGGAUAACUUCAGGAAACUGGGGCUAAUACCGGAUAGGAGCUCCUGCUGCAUGGUGGGGGUUGGAAAGUUUCGGCGGUUGGGGAUGGACUCGCGGCUUAUCAGCUUGUUGGUGGGGUAGUGGCUUACCAAGGCUUUGACGGGUAGCCGGCCUGAGAGGGUGACCGGCCACAUUGGGACUGAGAUACGGCCCAGACUCCUACGGGCGGCAGCAGUGGGGAAUAUUGCACAAUGGGCGGACGCCUGAUGCAGCAACGCUGCGUGCGGGAUGACGGCCUUCGGGUUGUAAACCGCUUUCGCCUGUGACGAAGCGUGAGUGACGGUAAUGGGUAAAGAAGCACCGGCUAACUACGUG